CCAAACCAACAAGCUUGCUUGUUGGGGUUGUAGGACACUCUAUACGGAGUUACAAAGGACGACAUUAGACGAAUCAUCUGGAAAGAUGAAUCAAAGAAGGUAAUAAUCCUGUAGUCGAAAAUGUUGUCUCUCUUGAGUGGAUCCUGAGUACGACGGAGCACGUGAAAUUCCGUCGGAAUCUGGGAGGACCAUCUCCUAAGGCUAAAUACUCUCUAGUGACCGAUAGUGAACCAGUACCGUGAGGGAAAGGUGAAAAGCACCCCGGAAGGGGAGUGAAAUAGAACCUGAAACCGUGUGCUUACAAGUAGUCAGAGCCCGUUAAUGGGUGAUGGCGUGCCUUUUGUAGAAUGAACCGGCGAGUUACGAUUUGAUGCAAGGUUAAGCAGUAAAUGUGGAGCCGUAGCGAAAGCGAGUCUGAAUAGGGCGUUUAGUAUUUGGUCGUAGACCCGAAACCAGGUGAUCUACCCUUGGUCAGGUUGAAGUUCAGGUAACACUGAAUGGAGGACCGAACCGACUUACGUUGAAAAGUGAGCGGAUGAACUGAGGGUAGCGGAGAAAUUCCAAUCGAACCUGGAGAUAGCUGGUUCUCUCCGAAAUAGCUUUAGGGCUAGCCUCAAGUGAUGAUUAUUGGAGGUAGAGCACUGUUUGGACGAGGGGCCCCUCUCGGGUUACCGAAUUCAGACAAACUCCGAAUGCCAAUUAAUUUAACUUGGGAGUCAGAACAUGGGUGAUAAGGUCCGUGUUCGAAAGGGAAACAGCCCAGACCACCAGCUAAGGUCCCAAAAUAUAUGUUAAGUGGAAAAGGAUGUGGCGUUGCCCAGACAACUAGGAUGUUGGCUUAGAAGCAGCCAUCAUUUAAAGAGUGCGUAAUAGCUCACUAGUCGAGUGACACUGCGCCGAAAAUGUACCGGGGCUAAACAUAUUACCGAAGCUGUGGAUUGUCCUUUGGACAAUGGUAGGAGAGCGUUCUAAGGGCGUUGAAGCAUGAUCGUAAGGACAUGUGGAGCGCUUAGAAGUGAGAAUGCCGGUGUGAGU
rnacentral:rRNA from 1 species